rfam:Hymenolepis nana genome assembly, scaffold: HNAJ_contig0002883
GGUCCCAUGGUGUAGCGGCUAGCACUCAGGACUUUGAAUCCUGCUACCCGAGUUCGAUUUUCGGUGGGACCU